UGGUGGUGUUCUUAAUCGUAUCAA
rnacentral:siRNA from 1 species